ensembl:lncRNA
AUGUAUUACCAUCAUCAUACUCACUCCUCACUAUUACCAUCAUCAUACUCACUCCUCACUAUUACCAUCAUCAUACUCACUCCAUAUGUAUUACCAUCACCAUACUCACUCCUCACUAAUACCAUCAUCAUACUCACUCCUCACUAUUACCAUCAUCAUACUCACUCCUCAUGUAUUACCAUCAUCAUACUCACUCCUCACGUAUUACCAUCACCAUACUCACUCCUCACUAUUACCAUCAUCAUACUCACUCCUCACGUAUUACCAUCAUCAUACUCACUCCUCACUAUUACCAUCAUCAUACUCACUCCUCACUAUUACCAUCAUCAUACUCACUCCUCACUAUUACCAUCAUCAUACUCACUCCUCACGUAUUACCAUCAUCAUACUCACUCCUCACUAUUACCAUCAUCAUACUCACUCCUCACUAAUACCAUCAUCAUACUCACUCCUCACUAUUACCAUCAUCAUACUCACUCCUCACUAAUACCAUCAUCAUACUCACUCCUCACUAUUACCAUCAUCAUACUCACUCCUCACUAUUACCAUCGUCAUACUCACUCCUCAUGUAUUACCAUCACCAUACUCACUCCUCACUAUUACCAUCAUCAUACUCACUCCUCACUAUUACCAUCAUCAUACUCACUCCUCAUGUAUUACCAUCAUCAUACUCACUCCUCAUGUAUUACCAUCAUCAUACUCACUCCUCAUGUAUUACCAUCAUCAUACUCACUCCUCACUAUUACCAUCAUCAUACUCACUCCAAAUGUAUUACCAUCAUCAUACUCACUCCUCACUAUUACCAUCAUCAUAUUCACUCCUCACUAUUACCAUCAUCAUACUCACUCCUCACUAUUACCAUCAUCAUACUCACUCCUCACUAUUACUAUCGUCAUACUCACUCCUCAUGUAUUACCAUCACCAUACUCACUCCUCACUAUUACCAUCAUCAUACUCACUCCUCACGUAUUACCAUCACCAUACUCACUCCUCAUGUAUUACCAUCAUCAUACUCACUCCUCAUGUAUUACCAUCAUCAUACUCACUCCUCACUAUUACCAUCAUCAUACUCACUCCUCACUAUUACCAUCAUCAUACUCACUCCUCACUAUUACCAUCAUCAUACUCACUCCUCACUAUUACCAUCAUCAUACUCACUCCUCAUGUAUUACCAUCAUCAUACUCACUCCUCACUAUUACCAUCAUCAUACUCACUCCUCACUAUUACCAUCAUCAUACUCACUCCUCACUAAUACCAUCAUCAUACUCACUCCUCACGUAUUACCAUCAUCAUACUCACUCCUCACGUAUUACCAUCACCAUACUCACUCCUCACUAAUACCAUCAUCAUACUCACUCCUCAUGUAUUACCAUCACCAUACUCACUCCUCACUAUUACCAUCAUCAUACUCACUCCUCAUGUAUUACCAUCAUCAUACUCACUCCUCAUGUAUUACCAUCAUCAUACUCACUCCUCACUAUUACCAUCAUCAUACUCACUCCUCACUAUUACCAUCAUCAUACUCACUCCAUAUGUAUUACCAUCACCAUACUCACUCCUCACUAAUACCAUCAUCAUACUCACUCCUCACUAUUACCAUAGUCAUACUCACUCCUCAUGUAUUACCAUCAUCAUACUCACUCCUCAUGUAUUACCAUCAUCAUACUCACUCCUCACUAUUACCAUCAUCAUACUCACUCCUCAUGUAUUACCAUCAUCAUACUCACUCCUCACUAUUACCAUCAUCAUACUCACUCCUCACUAUUACCAUCAUCAUACUCACUCCUCAUGUAUUACCAUCAUCGUACUCACUCCUCACUAUUACCAUCAUCAUACUCACUCCUCAUGUAUUACCAUCAUCAUACUCACUCCUCACUAUUACCAUCAUCAUACUCACUCCUCAUGUAUUACCAUCAUCAUACUCACUCCUCACUAAUACCAUCAUCAUACUCACUCCUCACUAUUAA